CCCUUUAAAACAGGCAACAGAUAUACGGAGGGCUCUGUAUUGUUCUUUCUGGGCUCCCGAGGGGGGUGCCUCGGGCAGGUCUCCGAGUCACAAUCCAGGAAGCUUCAUUUCGCAAUCCGAAGCUACUUUGAAGUGUAUUUCGCGACAACUUCGCUGUGGUUGCCUGCUGUUUUGCAGGAGGGGUCAGACCUGCUCUCCACGGAAGUUCCAGCUGCCUGCCGUUUGACAAGGAAGGGGGGGCGAAGCUUGCCCGAAGCUGCCGGAGACACUUCUUCGGACUUUUUCGUCGCUGCCCACAAGUGUUACUGCCGAUCGGAACUUCGCAGCCUCGGGAAGUGGUUUUGGCUUUGUCCCUGUCCCACGUUGGUUGUUCUUUGGGGAAGGAGGGAGUUCUGGAACUGAGGAGGCUCAAUUUCUGUGUUGUUUUUCCUUUGUUCUUUCUUUCAGUCACGUGGUCUGGAGAAGGGGGCUUUUCCGCCAUAUUGUUUUCUUUGUUCCGGGGAGGGGCAGGACUCAGCACUUUUGUAUCUAGUGGUUAUUGCUAUUAUCUUGGUUGUUGCUGUUUUUCUUUUUAGUAAAUGUUAUUUUUUCACUUUUA